CGGGACAACAUCCAAAGGGAUGCUAAUACCGGAUGUGGCGCUCCUAUCGCAUGACGGGAGCGUGAAGAUGGCCUCUACAUGUAAGCUAUCGCUAAAGGAUGGGCCUGCGUCUGAUUAGCUAGUUGGUAGUGUAACGGACAACCAAGGCGAUGAUCAGUAGCCGGUCUGAGAGGAUGAACGGCCACAUUGGGACUGAGACACGGCCCAG
rnacentral:rRNA from 1 species